rnacentral:rRNA from 1 species
UGGGGAAUAUUGCACAAUGGGCGCAAGCCUGAUGCAGCCAUGCCGCGUGUGUGAAGAAGGCCUUCGGGUUGUAAAGCACUUUCAGCGGGGAGGAAGGCGAUAAGGUUAAUAACCUUGUCGAUUGACGUUACCCGCAGAAGAAGCACCGGCUAACUCCGUGCCAGCAGCCGCGGUAAUACGGAGGGUGCAAGCGUUAAUCGGAAUUACUGGGCGUAAAGCGCACGCAGGCGGUCUGUCAAGUCGGAUGUGAAAUCCCCGGGCUUAACCUGGGAACUGCAUUCGAAACUGGCAGGCUAGAGUCUUGUAGAGGGGGGUAGAAUUCCAGGUGUAGCGGUGAAAUGCGUAGAGAUCUGGAGGAAUACCGGUGGCGAAGGCAGCCCCCUGGACAAAGACUGACGCUCAGGUGCGAAAGCGUGGGGAGCAAACAGG